UCGGUGUGACAGGGAACUGUGCGGCUUGCAGUAAACUCAUCCCAGCAUUCGAGAUGGUCAUGAGAGCCAAGGAGAACGUCUAUCACCUGGACUGCUUUGCCUGCCAGCUGUGUAACCAGAGGUUCUGCGUUGGAGACAAGUUCUUCCUGAAGAACAACAUGAUCCUGUGCCAGACAGACUACGAGGAAGGACUGAUGAAGGAGGGCUACGCGCCGCAGGUCCGCUGACCACCCCACGACCCCGCUGCUCGCAGGAGGGGAAAGAGCUGCGAGAGGACCUGAAGGGGACAUGCAAUCAGACAUAAGAAGCACUAGUAUCCUCUCCAGCCCCUGUCCCCAUUACAUUGUAUAUACGAAGAGCCCACAUAAGGGACGGUGUACUGUACAGUUUAGCCAUAGACGUUUUUGGUAAGUGGGAGAAUGUUCGAAGACGGACCAAGACUGAUGCUGCCUGACAGCCUUAUGAAGACCAGACAUCUCAAUGGCCCGACUUUUGUGAACUUUAACACACACAAACGUACAACCCCAAGUCCACAUCGCAGUUGCAUUUCACUUGCUUUACAGGGUGAAGACCACAUAGUAAAAAAAAAAAAAUCCAGUAUUUAUUGGCGAAUGAGAAGGAGCCAUGUCAACAUAAGAUCUCAGGUUGAAUGGGUUUCCUCAUUGUCCUUUCUAUUUUUCGUUUUCAUUGUGUCUUAAUUGCGUUUCCAGCAACAAGCUAUUUGGAUAAACACAAACAGCCAAUCAGAAGA